rnacentral:rRNA from 1 species
CCUACGGGUGGCAGCAGUGGGGAAUAUUGCACAAUGGGGGAAACCCUGAUGCAGCGACGCCGCGUGAGUGAAGAAGUAUUUCGGUACGUAAAGCUCUAUCAGCAGGGAAGAAAAUGCCGGUACCUGACUAAGAAGCCCCGGCUAACUACGUGCCAGCAGCCGCGGUAAUACGUAGGGGGCAAGCGUUAUCCGGAUUGACUGGGUGUAAAGGAAGCGUAGACGGCAGCGCAAGUCUGGAGUGAAAUCCCAUGGCUUAACCAUGGAACUGCUUUGGAAACUGUGCAGCUAGAGUGCAGGAGAGGUAAGCGGAAUUCCUAGUGUAGCGGUGAAAUGCGUAGAUAUUAGGAGGAACACCAGUGGCGAAGGCGGCCUGCUGGACGACAACGGACGGUGAGGCGCGAAAGCGUGGGGAGCAAACAGGAUUAGAUACCCUUGUAGUC